rnacentral:rRNA from 1 species
GAUGAACGCUGGCGGCGUGCCUAAUACAUGCAAGUCGAGCGAACAGACGAGGAGCUUGCUCCUCUGACGUUAGCGGCGGACGGGUGAGUAACACGUGGAUAACCUACCUAUAAGACUGGGAUAACUUCGGGAAACCGGAGCUAAUACCGGAUCAUAUAUUGAACCGCAUGGUUCAAUAGUGAAAGACGGUUUUGCUGUCACUUAUAGAUGGAUCCGCGCCGCAUUAGCUAGUUGGUAAGGUAACGGCUUACCAAGGCAACGAUGCGUAGCCGACCUGAGAGGGUGAUCGGCCACACUGGAACUGAGACACGGUCCAGACUCCUACGGGAGGCAGCAGUAGGGAAUCUUCGGCAAUGGGCGAAAGCCUGACGGAGCAACGCCGCGUGAAUGAUGAAGGUCUUCGGAUCGUAAAACUCUGUUAUUAGGGAAGAACAAAUGUGUAAGUAACUAUGCACGUCUUGACGGUACCUAAUCAGAAAGCCACGGCUAACUACGUG